UACGUAGGGGGCAAGCGUUGUUCGGAAUGACUGGGCGUAAAGGGUGCGUAGGCGGUGUAGCAAGUUAGAAGUGAAAUACCUAGAGCUUAACUCAGGUGCUGCUUCUAAAACUGCUAUACUUGAGUGCAGUAGAGGAAAGUGGAAUUCCUAGUGUAGCGGUGGAAUGCGUAGAUAUUAGGAGGAACAUCAGUGGCGAAAGCGGCUCUCUGGCCUGUAACUGACACUGAGGCUCGAAAGCGUGGGGAGCAAACAGG
rnacentral:rRNA from 1 species